AUUGAACGCUGGCGGCAUGCCUUACACAUGCAAGUCGAACGGCAGCACGGGAGCAAUCCUGGUGGCGAGUGGCGAACGGGUGAGUAAUAUAUCGGAACGUGCCCAGUCUGGGGGAUAACGUAGCGAAAGCUACGCUAAUACCGCAUACGAUCUAUGGAUGAAAGCGGGGGAUCGCAAGACCUCGCGCGAUUGGAGCGGCCGAUAUCAGAUUAGGUAGUUGGUGAGGUAAAGGCUCACCAAGCCGACGAUCUGUAGCUGGUCUGAGAGGACGACCAGCCACACUGGGACUGAGACACGGCCCAGACUCCUACGGGAGGCAGCAGUGGGGAAUUUUUGGACAAUGGGCGCAAGCCUGAUCCAGCAAUAGCGCGUGCAGGAUGAAGGCCUCGGUUGGUAAACG
rnacentral:rRNA from 1 species